rnacentral:rRNA from 2 species
UUGGAGAAUUUGAUCCUGGCUCAGGAUGAACGCUGGCGGCGUGCCUAAUACAUGCAAGUCGAACGAGUUCUGAUUAUUGAAAGGUGCUUGCAUCUUGAUUUAAUUUUGAACGAGUGGCGGACGGGUGAGUAACACGUGGGUAACCUGCCCUUAAGUGGGGGAUAACAUUUGGAAACAGAUGCUAAUACCGCAUAAAUCCAAGAACCGCAUGGUUCUUGGCUGAAAGAUGGCGUAAGCUAUCGCUUUUGGAUGGACCCGCGGCGUAUUAGCUAGUUGGUGAGGUAACGGCUCACCAAGGCAAUGAUACGUAGCCGAACUGAGAGGUUGAUCGGCCACAUUGGGACUGAGACACGGCCCAAACUCCUACGGGAGGCAGCAGUAGGGAAUCUUCCACAAUGGACGCAAGUCUGAUGGAGCAACGCCGCGUGAGUGAAGAAGGCUUUCGGGUCGUAAAACUCUGUUGUUGGAGAAGAAUGGUCGGCAGAGUAACUGUUUCGGCGUGACGGUAUCCAACCAGAAAGCCACGGCUAACUACGUGCCAGCAGCCGCGUUAAUAA